rnacentral:lncRNA from 1 species
AUUAAAGUAAUAUUUAAAUAUAUUGAUAUAAGGUCAUUCAUUUUAUCAUGAUUGAUUUUUUUUUUCAACUUAUCAUGAUUGAUUUUUUUUAAUUGACGUCCGUAAAAAGUUUUUGGUGAAUUUAUCAAAAGUCAAAACUAACAACUUGGGCAUUCCAUUGUUUUACAAAAGAGCUAUCUACCAUUGGAUAUAUACAUGGACUAAUAAUGUUCAAGUUAUCUUCGCAUAUGUUCAAGAUCUCGCUUUUGAAUUUAAAGGCUACCAAAUGUCGGAUGUGCCUAAGAGUGGACACUAAC